CCAGUCCUCAUGGACCACCAACAGUUCAGGUUUUGUCAGUAUCUCCAUUUGACUAAAAAUACGUAAAUCCUGGAUUGUUGGUGGUCCAUGAGGACUG